GAUGAACGCUGGCGGCGUGCCUAAUACAUGCAAGUCGAGCGAACGGACGAGAAGCUUGCUUCUCUGAUGUUAGCGGCGGACGGGUGAGUAACACGUGGAUAACCUACCUAUAAGACUGGGAUAACUUCGGGAAACCGGAGCUAAUACCGGAUAAUAUUUUGAACCGCAUGGUUCAAAAGUGAAAGACGGUCUUGCUGUCACUUAUAGCUGGAUCCGCGCUGCAUUAGCUAGUUGGUAAGGUAACGGCUUACCAAGGCAACGAUGCAUAGCCGACCUGAGAGGGUGAUCGGCCACACGGGAACUGAGACACGGUCCAGACUCCUACGGGAGGCAGCAGUAGGGAAUCUUCCGCAAUGGGCGAAAGCCUGACGGAGCAACGCCGCGUGAGUGAUGAAGGUCUUCGGAUCGUAAAACUCUGUUAUUAGGGAAGAACAUAUGUGUAAGUAACUGUGCACAUCUUGACGGUACCUAAUCAGAAAGCCACGGCUAACUACGUG
rnacentral:rRNA from 1 species